rnacentral:rRNA from 2 species
CUUUUACAAUGAAGAGUUUGAUCCUGGCUCAGGAUGAACGCUAGCUACAGGCUUAACACAUGCAAGUCGAGGGGCAGCAUUUCAGUUUGCUUGCAAACUGGAGAUGGCGACCGGCGCACGGGUGAGUAACACGUAUCCAACCUGCCGAUAACUCGGGGAUAGCCUUUCGAAAGAAAGAUUAAUACCCGAUGGCAUAAUUAGACCGCAUGGUCUUAUUAUUAAAGAAUUUCGGUUAUCGAUGGGGAUGCGUUCCAUUAGGCAGUUGGUGAGGUAACGGCUCACCAAACCUUCGAUGGAUAGGGGUUCUGAGAGGAAGGUCCCCCACAUUGGAACUGAGACACGGUCCAAACUCCUACGGGAGGCAGCAGUGAGGAAUAUUGGUCAAUGGGCGCAGGCCUGAACCAGCCAAGUAGCGUGAAGGAUGACUGCCCUAUGGGUUGUAAACUUCUUUUAUAUGGGAAUAAAGUUUUCCACGUGUGGAAUUUUGUAUGUACCAUAUGAAUAAGGAUCGGCUAACUCCGUGCCAGCAGCCGCGGUAAUACGGAGGAUCCGAGCGUUAUCCGGAUUUAUUGGGUUUAAAGGGAGCGUAGGUGGACAGUUAAGUCAGUUGUGAAAGUUUGCGGCUCAACCGUAAAAUUGCAGUUGAUACUGGCUGUCUUGAGUACAGUAGAGGUGGGCGGAAUUCGUGGUGUAGCGGUGAAAUGCUUAGAUAUCACGAAGAACUCCGAUUGCGAAGGCAGCUCACUGGACUGCAACUGACACUGAUGCUCGAAAGUGUGGGUAUCAAACAGGAUUAGAUACCCUGGUAGUCCACACAGUAAACGAUGAAUACUCGCUGUUUGCGAUAUACAGUAAGCGGCCAAGCGAAAGCAUUAAGUAUUCCACCUGGGGAGUACGCCGGCAACGGUGAAACUCAAAGGAAUUGACGGGGGCCCGCACAAGCGGAGGAACAUGUGGUUUAAUUCGAUGAUACGCGAGGAACCUUACCCGGGCUUAAAUUGCAUUUGAAUAAUCUGGAAACAGGUUAGCCGCAAGGCAAAUGUGAAGGUGCUGCAUGGUUGUCGUCAGCUCGUGCCGUGAGGUGUCGGCUUAAGUGCCAUAACGAGCGCAACCCUUAUCUUUAGUUACUAACAGGUCAUGCUGAGGACUCUAGAGAGACUGCCGUCGUAAGAUGUGAGGAAGGUGGGGAUGACGUCAAAUCAGCACGGCCCUUACGUCCGGGGCUACACACGUGUUACAAUGGGGGGUACAGAAGGCAGCUACCUGGUGACAGGAUGCUAAUCCCAAAAGCCUCUCUCAGUUCGGAUCGAAGUCUGCAACCCGACUUCGUGAAGCUGGAUUCGCUAGUAAUCGCGCAUCAGCCAUGGCGCGGUGAAUACGUUCCCGGGCCUUGUACACACCGCCCGUCAAGCCAUGAAAGCCGGGGGUACCUGAAGUACGUAACCGCAAGGAGCGUCCUAGGGUAAAACUGGUAAUUGGGGCUAAGUCGUAACAAGGUAGCCGUACCGGAAGGUGCGGCUGGAACACCUCCUUU